CAUGGCUAAACAUGCAAGUCGAGCGCGAAAGAGGGGCAACCCUCGAGUAGAGCGGCGAAAGGGUGAGUAAUGCGUUCCUACGUGCCUUGAGGUCGAGGAUAGCCAGGGGAAACUCUGGGUAAUACUCGAUGUGGUCUUCGGAUCAAAGGCUUGCCGCCUCAAGAGCGGGGAACGUCCUAUCAGGUAGUUGGUGAGGUAAUGGCUCACCAAGCCUUUGACGGGUAGCGGGUGUGAGAGCAUGGCCCGCCACAUCGGGACUGAGACACUGCCCGGACUCCUACGGGAGGCUGCAGUAACGAAUCUUCCGCAAUGCGCGAAAGCGUGACGGAGCAAUGCCGCGUGCAGGAUGAAGCCCCUCGGGGUGUAAACUGCUGUCAGGGAUUAGCAACACAAUGAGCAGUCCCAAAGGAAGAGACGACUAACUCUGUGCCAGCAGUCGCGGUAAUACAGAGGUCUCGAGCGUUAGUCGGAAUCACUGGGCUUAAAGCGUGCGUAGGCGGAGAUGCAGGCGUCGUGUGAAAUCUCCCGGCUCAACCGGGGAACUGCACGGCGAACCGCAUCUCUUGAGAGAGGUAGGGGCGGUCGGAACGAUAGGUGGAGUGGUGAAAUGCGUUGAUAUCUAUCGGAACGCCGAAGGUGAAGACAGGCCGCUGGGCCUUCUCUGACGCUGAGGCACGAAAGCGUGGGUAGCGAACGGGAUUAGAUACCCCGGUAGUCCACGCCGUAAACGAUGU
rnacentral:rRNA from 1 species